UACCCAACAAUCUACAAUCGAUAUUUUUGUCAACGAGAUAAAAAUUGCGAUAUUUGCACAUUUGUCAAACAGGUUUUAAAAGGUACCAGUCAAUCAACAAUCAUUGCAUGUCAACAUACGGAAUAAUCUAAAUAAUCGCCAUACCACCGGCCGGACUUAAAAUAUCUAUUCUCCCUGUACCAGCUUUAGCACUAUUAAAUGCACCGUGCUGAAUAUGCAGGAUUAAAGAUUAUACAGGGGUUGCCAACACCAGGGUGCAGUCACAGAGUUGAUCCGGGUGGUGGAAAACUGACAGCUGGCAUUUGACGAAAAGGCCACGUCACGUCUGAAGCGGUUACUGACGUUUCUGUAAUGUGACACUGGACACGCGCUGUGGCGUAGGGGUCUAUGUAUAUAUAAACUGCAAACAGACACGAAGCUUUAAAACACCACCUGUGAGGAAAAAAGUGCGACAAAAAGUAUGAAUCUGGUUCUUAUCCUAACGCUGUGUAUCGCUGGUCCAACCCUGGCCUCAGCUGC